GACGAACGCUGGCGGCGUGCUUAACACAUGCAAGUCGAACGGGAUUUAGUAGACAGAAGCCUCGGCUAAAGAUUACUAAUGAGAGUGGCGAACGGGUGAGUAACGCGUAAGCAACCUGCCUAUGACAGUGGGAUAGCCUCGGGAAACCGGGAUUAAUACCGCAUAAAAUCGUAGAAACACAUGUUUUAACGGUCAAAGAUUUAUCGGUCAUAGAUGGGCUCGCGUCUGAUUAGCUAGUUGGUGAGAUAACAGCCCACCAAGGCGACGAUCAGUAGCCGGUCUGAGAGGAUGAACGGCCACAUUGGAACUGAGACACGGUCCAAACUCCUACGGGAGGCAGCAGUGGGGAAUAUUGCACAAUGGGGGAAACCCUGAUGCAGCGACGCCGCGUGAACGAAGAAGGUAUUCGUAUCGUAAAGUUCUGUCCUAUGGGAAGAUAAUGACAGUACCAUAGAAGAAAGCUCCGGCUAAAUACGUG
rnacentral:rRNA from 1 species